CGCUCUGUAGCAGCGCAGCUCUGUCAGAAGGGUGAGGGGGCUGCGGCGCUGCAGCAUCAGUUCCAGUUGUGUUACAAACCGGAGACAGGUAGGGGGGAGGGGGUAGAAUGUCCGGUGUUGACAACAUUGAAACUGAACUGUCACGGCCAGAAGUGGCCACCGGAGUGACCUGUCUCACGAAGGAGCCGUCCACAGUAGCAGCCUGGUGUAACUCCAGGAGAAGCAGCAGCACAAGGUGCGAUGCCUCGUGCGUAUAACUGGCUCCGCCGUUUGGCUGGGCGACGAAAUGCGUCAUCAAUGAUCAAUAAACCAUGCACCGGCACCACACAGCAUCAUUGACGCUACCAGAGGCGUCAUCAGAAGCGUCACCGACGACGUCAUAUCAAAGGUUCUGCUGCCGAGUCCUGUCGCAGAUGGUCGGUGGACGAUCAGCGUGGGAAAGGCUGUGAAGCAUUAGCAGCGUGGAGCCGAACAGCUUAGUUCCACCUCGACUUCCAUCUGCAUGCAUAUCAGAAGAUGAUGAUGAGAAAGGAUGAUGAGAUCCCUGAGCUGAAGUGUCCAGCUCGGCCGGCCCAGAGCGGGUGUAGUGCUGCCACCUGUACAGUACGAUCAGCGCUGGCAGCGUCACCUGUGAACCGAUACUGGAACCAGACCGGACCGGAGAGCUUCCUGUGGCACAGGGGCCGGGGCCGGGCCCGGCGCGGCGCGGCGGUACACCAGGAUGAUGCUGUACCGCAUUGCGCGCUUCGAUUGGGCAUUCGGUGUGUGCUUUCGGUGUGUGCUUCGGUUAUUUUAUAUGGUGAUGGUGAAACAUCAUAUUGUAAGUUCUAUACAACCUACGGGCUUCAGCUGUAGGUAUGUGCUUAGGAACCUAUUUUGUUAGUACCUAAAUGCCAAUAAAAUGUUAUUUGUGUU